rnacentral:miRNA from 1 species
GCAGACACAUUCCAGCCAAUCAGCAGCAGACCCUCCCUCCCAGACCCACCCACCUCCUGGACAGCAUCCAUUUUGAAGCUGCAUUCUUAGUGAGCUGUCCAGGAGGUGGGAGGGUCUCGGAGGGAGGGUCUGCUGCUGAUUGGCUGGAAUGUGUCUG